AUGGCGACGCCUCCAAACAGCAGAUUCCAGGCGGCAAUGACGUCACCUUUCCCUUUCCUGCCGCCCAGGCCUCUAGGCGCUGCUGCCUGGGGCCCAGGGGCUGCCCUGUUCUGUGCCCCCUCAGAGCAGUCCUCAGCCAAGACUCCAAGGUGUCUCGGGAUUGCUUCUGAUUGGGAAGUGUCCAAGCAAGAAGACGUCAGACUCAGAAAGUGCUGUGAAGCCCAGAGAAGUUGCUCUUGUCCUUGUAUCCCUGGACCUCAGGAGCCUGAGCUGUGUGCUGGGUCUGGAUGGCCCACCUGCUUGAUUUUCCAGUGCAAUGAGUAUCCAGGGUGUUCACAUGGUGCCAUGUGAAGGAAUCUGAGCCAUUCAAAGUCAAAAUAUAUGGUAGGGGUACAGCUCAGCAACAGAGCACUCAACUAGCAUACCUUUGGUUCUAUCUUCAGGAGCAAGGAGAGGAAAAAAAAUCAACAACAACAACAACAAAAAAGAAAGUUAAAAGUGUAGCAGGUCAUAGCCUGAAACUAACGACUGUGAUAAACUACACCCAUGAUUUGUGUACUUCAGACGCUGUUGGAAACCUGAACCCCACCUGGCCGAGGGGCCCAGAAGCUUAAGGGACCUCCAGCAUCUGGGUCAAGGGCCUUCCCAUGAGCAGGUUUCCUGUAAAUGCUGUUGGAUACGGGUCAAGGCUGACUCUGUGGGAGCUGAAAAACCACAGCCUCCCUGGGGAGUCCCCUGGGCCUCCCACUCACCCCAUACACCAGGAAAGCUUGGUUUCUGCUUGAGUGGUUGUCUCCACAGGAGGGGCCCCAAGUUUUCCCCUUCUGCCGCCCCUGCUCGCUGGGGUUCUGUCCCUGUUUCUGCUGUACCUGUGGUCCUGUGGUCCCUCUGAAGCGCUGGACACGCCUGGGGCACAGUAUACAGGACUGCCCUCUGGAAAUUACCCUACAGUUUGUGCUUCAGAAAAACCUAGAGGGCAUGAGGGGGCAGGGCUGGGAGGAUUCACAUGAAGGCUGGGCCUUAGGGCUGCAGGAGCUAGCCUCCUGGGGAAAGGGCCAACAAAGUCACAGGCCCUGGACUGAACAUGAGCUGAGCCAGAAGAGGGUUCGCAAAAGUAUGUCAGAAGGACCACUGUGAACAGACAGAAGUGCCAGGUGGAGAUGUUGGCCAGAAGGGUGGCCCAAAGGUGAGAGCUGAAACAGGGUAAGGUCCCUUCCUCCAGUGCCCUCUCUCCCAGUGUCCCGUGGCUUUUUGGGUUAGGUUGCCCCAUCCUUGGCUUUGGCCCGCUGACCAUGUGCAGGUAUGGCCAUGAUCCCCAACUGGAGGCAUGAGGAGGUACCAAAAGGGAGCUGCAAUGUCUGUGCCUCCCCCUCCCCCGCACACCCUUGCCCCCACACCCCAUGUGCGGGCCUGAACAACCACUCUGCUGCCUGACGGAUCCUGCAAUGUUUCCCAGGCAACUGUCUCAUACAGCCUGUCUGCCUGGCACUCCCACACCCCAUAAAUGCCGCCGCGCCUGGCUCCAGGCAGCCUUGCCUGCUUGGCAUCUACACGCCAGCAGGUGUGGAGAACGUAGCCCGCUGCCUGGCUGUGUCAUAAGGCCACUUAGGCAGAGAAGGCAGCCCAGGCCUCUUGGACAUCCUCAUACAGCCAGUGAGUAUUGCUGGGAUACCCCACGUAGAUGUCCUGAUGUUCUGCCACACAGUAAGAUUGAGGAUAGCUGAGUGCCAAGACCAUGCACCCAGGCGCGCCUGCCUACCACAGGUCCCUCUUGAAAAGUAGAGCCUGUGUUCCUUUCCUGGCUUGGGCAGAUGCUUUCAUGAUCCAUUUGUCAGAUAAAUUGAUGGUAAACCCAGUUUCCAAGAAGGCAAGGGGAGUAUAGGGAGCCAAGCAGGACUUGGACUACCCCAACAGCUGAAGACUGGGGUCUGAUGGACAGAUUCACCUAGUCCAGCAGCUAAAAAGCUCCUGUUGGUGGCAGAGAUCAAUCAUGGGACCAGCCUUGCUAGUGAGAAGUUAGGACCCUGUUAACAUCACCCUGAGAAAAACACCAACCUGGCUGACAGACCCUCUUCAUUUCUGAGACUAGCUUUGGAGGCAGAGGGAGGGUAGACCCAAAAAAAUAUGGUCUAAUGGUGACAAAGCUCAAGAGAAGGAGGUGGUCCCCAACCUGGAGCACUCUGUGGAUGCAGGAGGCCUCAUUGCUUUCCCUAUGUGUCUCCUCCAAAGGACUG